GCGAGAAACCUUUGCAAUGUGCGCAAGCACGACAAGGUUAAUCCGAGUGUUUCCUGCUAAAGGAAUCUUUUGUUAGUUCUAAAACCACUGAUGAAUAAGAGGUGGGCAAGUUCUGGUGUCAGCCGCCGCGGUAAAACCAGCACCUCAAGUGGUCAGGAGGAUUAUUGGGCCUAAAGCAUCCGUAGCCGGUUCUGUAAGUUUUCGGUUAAAUCCACUAGCUUAACUAAUGGGCUGCCGAAAAUACUGCAGAACUAGGGAGUGGGAGAGGUAGACGGUACUCGGUAGGAAGGGGUAAAAUCCUUUGAUCUAUUGAUGACCACCUGUGGCGAAGGCGGUCUACCAGAACACGUUCGACGGUGAGGGAUGAAAGCUGGGGGAGCAAACCGGAUUAGAUACCCUCGUAGUCCCUGAGCGGGCUGGCAAGGCGCAU
rnacentral:rRNA from 1 species